CUCAUUUGACAGAACUGAAUAUCCAUUCUGCUGAAAACCCUUAGUAAAAUAAAAAUAAAAGAACAUUUCCUUGGCAUAAUAAUAAUAAAAAAAACCUAUCUGCAACCAACCGUCAACAUCAUUCUUAGCAAUAAAACACCUAGCCAGGGUCAUUCAUAUUUUAGUCAGGGUAGAAUGAGAAAGCCUGCUAUUAACACAAUUAUUUUACAUUGUUUUGGAAGUUUUAGCCAAGGCAAGAGUACAUUAAUACACAAAAGGAAACACAACAUUUGGAAAGGAGGAGAAAUUGUCAUCAUUAUUUGUACAUGAUAUUAUUGUUUAUCCAGAAAACUCAAGAGAAUCAACUAGAAAAGUAAUAAGAGACUAUGAGCGAGGUCAGUAAGAUGACCAGUUUUGAAAUAAAUACACUGGCAAAGUCCAAUUAGAAACCUUAAGAAGAAGAAAACUGAGGAGUGAGGCAGUAGCUCAAGGGUACUCAAGGUUGCAGAACAAGCCCAACCACCUCAAAGGUCUCCUGUUAGGGCCCAGCCUAGCAGGGAGGGGGAGAGAAAGAUGGGGUGCACCAGCUGGAGCUGCAGAGGGCAGGGAAGUGGGGAGGAAAGGGGUAUCCUGAAACAUCUUUCUGGGCUGGUAACAGUUGGGCUUGGACUGGGAGCUGCCCUGUUGGGGGAAUAUCCAACCCUGUGGGCCUGGUUACCAGCAGCCCUGGCAGACAGCAGCUCAGGCCAAUGGGAUGCAGGCAGUUCUGAGAGCCGGUACCUGACUGCUGGGGGCUCCAGGAUGCAGCAAGUCCAGGGUAGAGGACUGCAGACCCUGAUGGAGAACUGUCAUCCACUGCGGGGCACAGAGUCCAGCAACGAGAUUCCAGCUAAGUGUCGCUGAACAUCUGAUGGGCUGAUUACAAAUUGGUCCCCUGGAUUCAUUAAAAUGCACAGGCACUAGAUGCAGUGCCCC
rnacentral:lncRNA from 1 species